rnacentral:lncRNA from 1 species
GCUCAUAUCCCAUUGAAACAGAAGAUGCUGGUGUAGGAGGAGGAAGGGGGACAGAAGAAGGAGGAAGAAAGAAGGGCAAGCCUCAGGGUAAGCAGCCCCUGUAUUGGUCAAAGGGACAUAACACUAGCUACUAUAACAAUGCUCUGAAUUUCAGUGUCUUGACACUGAAAUUUUCUCUUGUAGGUGUUCCUGGACAGCAAGUGAGUGACUUGCUCACAGGCGGUAAUUCAGGGACCCAGGUUUCUUCUACCUGGUAGCUCUACUGUCCUUCAGAACCUCAGAGCCCUGUGCAUUCAGCCAGCAGGAGAAAGACCACUACUAAGUUAGGUCAUUCACUUUGGGAGAAGCCAGUCUUCAUGCCAUGAGGACGUUCAGGCAGCCCUGUGGAGAGAACCACAUGGAAAGGAUCUGAGGUCUCUCACCAGCACCAAUUUGCCAGCUAUGGGAAUGGGCCACCUUGGAAGGAGACUGUCCAGCCCAAGUGAAGGCUGCAGAUAACUGCAGCUUUGGCCAACAUUUGGCUAUAUUGCUUUGGGAAAUCUCAAGCCAGAACCAUCUGGCCAAGCUGCUCUUAAAUUCCUGAUCCACAGAAGUUUUGGAAGGUAAUAAAUGUUUAUUGUUUUAAGGCACCAAGUUUCAGGGUGAUUUGUUACCAGUAAUAGAUAACUAAUAUGUUUGGCAA